AGUGGAUGGGGAGCAACAAAAGUUGUGUGUGUGUAAAGGUAGUGCCAAGAAAAGCUGAGUUGAUGUUGAACAAAAGAUUCCGGUACCCGAAACCGACACAGGUAGGCAAGUAGAGAAUACUAAGGGGCGCGAGGUAACUCUCUCCAAGGAACUCGGCAAAAUGACCCCGUAACUUCGGGAGAAGGGGUGCCACCGAGAGGUGGUCGCAGUGAAGAGUCCCAGGCGACUGUUUAGCAAAAACAUAGGUCUCUGCAAACUCGAAAGAGGAGGUAUAGGGGCUGACGCCUGCCCAGUGCCGGAAGGUUAAAGAAGUUGGUCAGUCGAAAGAUGAAGCUAACGACUGAAGCCCCGGUGAACGGCGGCCGUAACUAUAACGGUCCUAAGGUAGCGAAAUUCCUUGUCGGGUAAGUUCCGACCCGCACGAAAGGCGUAACGAUCUGGGAGCUGUCUCGGAGAGAGGCUCGGCGAAAUAGGAUUGUCUGUGAAGAUACGGACUACCUGCAUUUGGACAGAAAGACCCUAUGAAGCUUUACUGUAGCUUGGAAUUGUGUUCGGGCUUGCUGUGCGCAGGAUAGGUGGGAGGCUAUGAAGGUAUGCUUGUGGGUGUACUGGAGCCGUCAGUGAGAUACCACUCUCAGGGGGCUAGAAUUCUAACUAAAGAAAGGACAGUUUCAGGUGGGCAGUUUGACUGGGGCGGUCGCCUCCAAAAAGGUAACGGAGGCGUACAAAGGUUCCUUCAGACUGGUUGGAAAUCAGUCGCAGAGUGCAAAGGCAGAAAGGAGCUUGACUGCGAGAAUUACAGUUCGAGCAGGGUGGAAACACGGUCUUAGUGAUCCGACGGUGCUGGUGGAAGGGCCGUCGCUCAACGGAUAAAAGUUACUCUAGGAUAACAGGCUGAUCUCCCCCAAGAGUUCACAUCGACGGGGAGGUUUGGCACCUCGAUGUCGGCUCAUCGCAACCUGGGGCGGAAGUACGUCCCAAGGGUUGGGCUGUUCGCCCAUUAAAGCGGUACGUGAGCUGGGUUCAGAACGUCGCGAGACAGUUCGGUCCAUAUCCGAUGUAGGCGAGAGAAUAUUGAGAGGAGCCUUCCUUAGUACGAGAGGACCGGGAAGGACGCACCGCUGGUGUACCUGUUAUGAUGCCAAUUGUAAACGCAGGGUAGCCAAGUGCGGAGAGGAUAACCGCUGAAAGCAUCUAAGUGGGAAGCCCACCUCAAGAUGAGUAUUCUGUGUUAAGGUCACGGGAAGACGACCCGUAAAUAGGCACGAGGUGGAAGUACAGUAAUGUAUGAAGCCGAAGUGUACUAAUAGACCGUCAGCUUGAC
rnacentral:rRNA from 1 species